CCUCAAUCCUCUUCCACUCCUCACCCUAAACAGGAAGGCGGACAGAGGGAUAAACUAGGGAGGCCCAUCUCCUUUUUGGGGAAGGCGCAGGUGUGCAACAACUUCAAUGCAGGUUCCUGCAGCUUCAGCGCUUGUAGAUUGUUGCACAUCUGCUCCAUCUGUUUCAGGGCACACACUAAGACCAAGUGUCCGGCCAGGUUGUCCCCUAACAAAUGACGUUAAUAUCGACAACCUGGCCUUUUACUUUAAAG